GAUGAAGAACGUAGCGAAAUGCGAUAAGUAAUGCGAAUUGCAGAAUUCAGUGAAUCAUCGAAUCUUUGAACGCACAUUGCGCCCGCCAGUAUUCUGGCGGGCAUGCCUGUCUGAGCGUCGUUUCGACCCUCGCGCCCGGCUUCUGUCGGGGGCGGUGUUGGGGAUCGGCCACACCCUUCAGUGGGAGGCCGGCCCCUAAAUUCAGUGGCGACCACGCUGUAGCCUCCCCUGCGUAGUACUAAAACCACCUCGCAGGCGGAGAGCGGUGCGGCCCGCCGUAAAACCCCCAACUUUUACAAGGUCGACCUCAGAUCAGGUAGGAAUACCCGCUGAACUUAAGCAUAUCAAUAAGCGGAGGA
rnacentral:misc_RNA from 1 species